AGUGAACGCUGGCGGUAGGCCUAACACAUGCAAGUCGAACGGCAGCACAGUAAGAGCUUGCUCUUACGGGUGGCGAGUGGCGGACGGGUGAGGAAUACAUCGGAAUCUACUUUUUCGUGGGGGAUAACGUAGGGAAACUUAUGCUAAUACCGCCUACGACCUACGGGUGAAAGCAGGGGAUCUUCGGACCUUGCGCGAUUGAAUGAGCCGAUGUCGGAUUAGCUAGUUGGCGGGGUAAAGGCCCACCAAGGCGACGAUCCGUAGCUGGUCUGAGAGGAUGAUCAGCCACACUGGAACUGAGACACGGUCCAGACCCCUACGGGAGGCAGCAGUGGGGAAUAUUGGACAAAGGGCGCAAGCCUGAUCCAGCCAUACCGCGUGGGUGAAGAAGGCCUUCGGGUUGUAAAGCCCUUUUGUUGGGAAAGAAAAGCAGCAGGUUAAUACCCCGCUGUUCUGACGGUACCCAAAGAAUAAGCACCGGCUAACUUCGUG
rnacentral:rRNA from 1 species